rnacentral:misc_RNA from 1 species
CGAAUGGGUCCAAAGGCUCUUAAAACCUACCGUGCUCCCCUACGUGGAAAACAGGAAAGCCCUCCGGGGCAUAGGAAAUCUGAGAAGUUGAGAACUGCGCCCCGGCGCAUGACUAAAACAAAAAAUUA